rnacentral:rRNA from 1 species
AUUGAACGCUGGCGGCAGGCCUAACACAUGCAAGUCGAACGAGUGGCGGACGGGUGAGUAAUGUCUGGGAAACUGCCUGAUGGAGGGGGAUCACUACUGGAAACGGUAGCUAAUACCGCAUACCAUCAUAUGUGCCCAGGUUGGAUUAGCUUGUUGGGGGGGUAACGGCUCACAAAGGCGACGAUCCCUAGCUGGUCCGAGAGGAGGACCAGACAAACGGGAACUGAGACACGGCCCAGACUCCUAGGGGAGGAGGAAGUGGGGAAUAUUGGACAUGGGGGGAAGGCCUGAGGAAGACAGGCGGGGUGGAGGAAGAGGGCCUUGGGGUGGAAAGGUACGUUAAGCGGGGAGGCGGUACCCGAAGAAGAAGCAACGGCUAACUCCGUGCCAGCCGCCGCGGUAAUAC